rnacentral:lncRNA from 1 species
UAUGUUUCUCAACACACAAUUAAAUUAAUAUACAUUUGGAAUGUAAAUUUGUAUAAAGAAAUAUAUCAAUGGCAUGACAAACUAAGUUUGCUUUAACUUAUAAGAUUUGGAAGCGAAAGCUGAAUUAUUGAUUUUUUAUUGAAACCGAAAAUAUACUCAUAUGAAAACAUUCUGCUCAUAAUAUAUGGAGUGAUAAAUUGAGUGAUAAUGUACAUAUUUGUAAAUAAGUCAUAGUAUAGGCCACUCAGAGAAUAGGAUUAGAAAAUGAGAAGGAAAAGGGCCCAGGAGUUUCAGAGUUUAUUAGGUGGUGUGAGUCCCAUUGUGGGACAUUUUGGAUUUGUGGGUCCCCCGUGAGCAAAAAAACAAAUUGGGGGCCCAGUUGUAGGAAAAUUAAAUGUUCCUUUAUUAAGGGAAACAAAUGUUAAAUAAAACAAUUGUUGGAUGGGUGGGGUUUUGCAUAAACUAAAGCAUUGACUGUUUUUUAAAAUAGUAGAAACUUUAGUUUACACUCAAUGAAAGUCUCGACUUGGUAUGAUGAUAAGUGUUAUUAAUUUUAUUAUGGUGUUGUGAAUUGGAGUUAACCACAUAACUCUUCAUAACUAGAAGGUAAAGUUGUCUACUUCAAGCUCUAAUUUAAGCCAAAAUCUUGUGCAUUGUGUGACAAAAAUAUGGAGGUAACAUUUUUCUUAUUUUGGUUCUUUUUAUUUUAGAUCAAGCUUAUUAAACUUUAGGGUUUUAAUUCUAUGGUAAAAUUACAAAUUGUGAUAUAUUCCUAAACUUACAUCGAUGAUUCAAACUGUUCGUCUUAUAAAAUUCUCGAUAUAAUCAUUCAUACAAAAAAUGAGGUUGAUCGAGUCUCUGUAGUCACAAGAUCGGGUCAUAUUUAACAUAAAAAAUAGAUGGUCUAUUUUUAAAACUAUAUUUGCCAUCCCGCUAAAAAAAAUCGAUCACGUGACUACCCAUACAGAUCAAAGAUAAUUUUUUGCAUGUAUGAGCUUCAUAUUGUACUUUACGAGAUAAAUAAUUUAAAUCAUUUAGGUAGGUCUACAGUAUGCUCACAUUCUAUCUCUUUUACUUUUGAACUUUGGCCAUCGGCGACUAUUAAUCAUCUAGGUCCACUUUAAUCUUAUUAUAGUGUAAAAAAUAAAUUUCUGACUAGUAGUCUGUUGUGAUUGUUAAUCUUUCAAAAAUUAAUGAAUGUGAAUUCCAUUAGGGUGGUGGUAUUUCUAAUCCACUUUUAUGGGACUAUUAAUCCUCUUAGAUUGAAUUGAAACUUGUUAUGGAACAUGGCCUAUUGAUAACAGAUUUAAUCAUAUUCGAGUGCAAAAAAUAAGGUCUAGACGAGUAAUAAAGGAAAACAAAAUUUAGUGGUGGAUAUCCAAUAUCAUGGGAUUUAUAAACUAAUAAACAAAUAUAUUUUUAGUGAAAUUAGGAUUAU